GACAUCUUCAACAACCUAAUUAAAGUUGAAUUAGACACAAAAUAAACUCAGUUCACCUGUACGCUCAAAAAGAUACUGUAUAUGUCAAAGGAUGCAGACAAAAGAAACUACAAACAGAAACAAAUGGAUAUGGGAGGGCCAACCACUUGUAAUUGCAGCAUACUUGCCCGAAAAUCAAGAAUUGAGAUAGCACAACAUUCGUAUAUGAAUUACCUUGUCAGGAGUAGAGGCACCA
rnacentral:misc_RNA from 1 species